rnacentral:rRNA from 1 species
CAGCAGUCGCCGCGGGAAUACAGAGGAUGCAAGCGUUAUCCGGAAUGAUUGGGCGUAAAGCGUCUGUAGGUGGCUUUUCAAGUCCGCCGUCAAAUCCCAGGGCUCAACCCUGGGCAGGCGGUGGAAACUACCAAGCUGGAGUACGGUAGAGGCAGAGGGAAUUUCUGGUGGAGCGGUGAAAUGCGUUGAGAUCGGAAAGAACACCAACGGCGAAAGCACUCUGCUGGGCCGACACUGACACUGAGAGACGAAAGCUAGGGGAGCAAAUGGGAUUAGAUACCCCCGUAGUCCCUGUCUCUUAUAC